ACGGGAGGCAGCAGUGAGGAAUAUUGGUCAAUGGGCGGAAGCCUGAACCAGCCAAGUCGCGUGAAGGAAGACGGUAUUAUGUAUUGUAAACUUCUUUAGCAGUAGAGCAAUAAGCGCCACGUGUGGCGUGAUGAGAGUAUACUGAGAACAAGCAUCGGCUAACUCCGUGCCAGCAGCCGCGGUAAUACGGAGGCUGCGAGCGUUAUCCGGAUUUAUUGGGUUUAAAGGGUGCGCAGGCGGUCAGUUAAGUCAGUGGUCAAAUCGUGAGGCUCAACCUCAUCCCGCCAUUGAUACUGGUUGACUUGAUUUCGGUCGAGGUAGGCGGAAUUCGUCGUGUAGCGGUGAAAUGCAUAGAUAUGGCGAAGAACACCGAUUGCGUAGGCAGCUUACCAGGCCGUUAAUGACGCUCAUGCACGAAAGUGCGGGGAUCGAACAGGAUUAGAUACCCUGGUA
rnacentral:rRNA from 1 species